rnacentral:rRNA from 1 species
GAUCCUGGCUCAGGAUGAACGCUGGCGGCGUGCCUAACACAUGCAAGUCGAACGAGGUAUUUUGAUUGAAGUUUUCGGAUGGAUUUCAAGAUACCGAGUGGCGGACGGUGAAUAACGCGUGGGUAACCUGCCUCAUACAGGGGGAGUAACGGUUAGAAAUAGACUGCUAAUACCGCAUAAGCGCACAGUACCGCAUGGUACGGUGUGAAAACUCCGGUGGUAUGAGAUGGACCCGCGUCUGAUUAG